GAGGGGAUAGCUCAGUGGUAAGAGUGUCUGCCUAGCAUACUUGAGGUCCUGGGUUCAAUCCCCAGUACCUUCA
rnacentral:tRNA from 1 species